rnacentral:rRNA from 1 species
GUAGGUGGCAAGCGUUGUCCGGAAUUAUUGGGCGUAAAGCGCGCGCAGGUGGUUCUUUAAGUCUGAUGUGAAAGCCCCCGGCUCAACCGGGGAGGGUCAUUGGAAACUGGGGAACUUGAGUGCAGGAGAGGAAAGUGGAAUUCCACGUGUAGCGGUGAAAUGCGUAGAUAUGUGGAGGAACACCAGUGGCGAAGGCGACUUUCUGGCCUGUAACUGACACUGAGGCGCGAAAGCGUGGGGAGCAAACAGGAUUAGAUACCCUGGUAGUCCAGCCGUAAACGAUGAGUGCUAAGUGUUGGGGGGGUUUCCGCCCCCUCAGUGCUGCAGCUAACGCAUUAAGCACUCCGCCUGGGGAGUACGGUCGCAAGACUG